UGCGCUCACUACUGUAAGGUCGCUCUGGAUGAGAGCGUCUGCUAAAUGACUAACA
rfam:Salmo salar isolate Sally breed double haploid chromosome ssa11, whole genome shotgun sequence.